rnacentral:lncRNA from 10 species
CGCCCAGCUAAUUGUUUGUAUUUUUAGUAUAGACGGAGAUUUCACCAUGUUAGCCAGGAUGGUCUCGAUUUCCUUACCUCAUGAUCCCCUGCCUCGGCCUCCCAAAGUGCUGGGAUUACAGGCGUGAACCAAGGCGCCCGGCCGGAGUAGGAAUUUUAUGGGUUAUAAACUAAGGAUAUGGAGGUCGACUUGAGGAAGAAACCUGGAGUAUAAAAAUUCAGUUUGGAAAAAGACGUUUUGUCUCUUAAACUGAAGCACAUUCCUGCCAUUCAUUCGGACCAUACGAAGAUAAAACUAAAAACUUUUCUCUAAAGCUCCUGGUGAUGGUAGUUGAGUCAAUGAGCCACCAGCAACAACAAAGGACAAAAAGGUCACUGUACUGUCAUUGUUUAUUUGAAAUCUAAAGGUGUAAUGCAAGAAUAUGCAAGACCACAGGGACUGGAGACACAAAGAGCAUCUGAAGAGAGCUUGAAUGACUCCCAACAGUUCCAGUCUCAAAGUUACCAUGUGCAGCACAGUCAGGGCAGGUCUGUCUAACUGGGCUUCCUUGAAUUAACUUCCACAUAGAAUACAUUGUUUAUUAAAGAAUAAGUAUUUUUUUCUAGCUUAAAUCUUGCGUGUAUAUAAUAUUAUUAAAUCUCAAUGGGAACCUCAGGAAUUGUUUUGAAAUUAGAUCUACCAAAGAUGUUUCUCAAGGAGGAGUAUUUUAUUUUUGAAUUGUUUAGAAUUGCUGGAACACAGUGAUAAUAGUAGGGCAAAUCAUAGCCAAUUUGUUAUUGUUAUUAAAUUCUCUGUAGACAAUGCACACUCUUGUCUGUACUGGGGAAGACUGCACCGUCUGCUCCACUCUUUGUACACUAUGUGUCAGCUUUGACUUAACCAUUUUUACUACAUUUCUGUAUUAGAUUCCAAGUUUCAAAGAGAAGGUAUAUUGUAUACUGUCUUCUUCCCUAACCUUAUAUCCUUUUGCUCCACAUUUUAUUACAGCCAUGAUGACCCAUUUUACGUCAAAUUGAUCAGAUCAUGAAAUAUCCAAAUAUUUGGUGAAAAAUUAUCCUAGGUGUUUCUGUGAGAGUAUUUUUGGAUGAAAUUAACCUUUUAAUCAGUAGAGAAAAUUGCCCUCCAUAAUGUGUGCGGGCCUCAUCCAAUCAGUUGAAGACCCCAAAAGAAUAAAAAUAUUGACUGUCACUUCCCUGAGCAAAAUAAUUUUCCAACAGACUCCCUUUGGACUUCAUCUACACCAUUGGCUUUCCUGGGUCUUGAGUGUGCUGGUCCACACUGCAGAUUUAGAUUGCCAGUCUCCAUAAUGCAUGAGCCAAUUAUAAUAAAUCACUUCACACACAAAUUCUAUUAGUUCUAUUUCUCUGGAGUAACAAACAGCUUCUUAAAGGUGCCACUUGACAGAACUUCAGUAUAAUUGUUCUACGUAGAUCUCACUUUCUUGGAACUAUGCUAACUCUGUUGUUAUUCGUUAAAAUAUAGACCAGAGGCACACUGAUUGACUUGACAUAUCACAGUACACUAGGCUAGUUCACCAUAUUGGUGGCAUACUAAUAGCACCUAUUGAAAAGAAGCUAGUAAAUAUUUUGAAUACCUUAACAAGGCAUGUAAAUGAAAGUGAAGGAGAGAUAACCCCAUGAAGAUCCAAGACCUUGCCAGACUGAUAAAAUUUUUCUGGACCUUGCUGAUAUACCCUAUAAAAUUAAAUGGUCAUUAUAGAAAACGGUAUGGAGUUUUCUCAAAAAAAUAAAAAUAGAACUUCCAAAUUAUUCAGUAAUACAACUACUAGGGAUAUAUCCAAAGAAAAUGAAAUUAGUAUGUCAAAGAGAUAUCUGUACUACCAUGUUCAUUGUUGCACUAUUCACAAUAGCCAAGUUAUGGACUCAAACUGACAGUCCAUCAAUAGAUUA